AAAUCUCAGCUGGCAACUGUGAGUCGUUCACUAGCUGCUCUCACAAUGGCCUCUGGGAUUAUG
rnacentral:pre_miRNA from 6 species